rnacentral:tRNA from 1 species
CGGGGCAUGGCGCAGCCUGGUAGCGCGCUUGCAUGGGGUGCAAGAGGUCGUGGGUUCGAGUCCCGCUGCCCCGA